UACGAAGGGGGCUAGCGUUGUUCGGAAUCACUGGGCGUAAAGCGCGCGUAGGCGGACCUGCAAGUCGGGGGUGAAAGCCCGAGGCUCAACCUCGGAACUGCCUUCGAUACUGCGGGUCUCGAGUCCGGGAGAGGUGAGUGGAAUUCCUAGUGUAGAGGUGAAAUUCGUAGAUAUUAGGAAGAACACCAGUGGCGAAGGCGGCUCACUGGCCCGGUACUGACGCUGAGGCGCGAAAGCGUGGGGAGCAAACAGG
rnacentral:rRNA from 1 species